rnacentral:rRNA from 1 species
AACGAACGCUGGCAGCAUGCCUAACACAUGCAAGUCGAACGAGACCUUCGGGUCUAGUGGCGCACGGGUGCGUAACGCGUGGGAACCUGCCCUUAGGUUCGGAAUAACUCCCCGAAAGGGGUGCUAAUACCGGAUAAUGUCUUCGGACCAAAGAUUUAUCGCCUUUGGAUGGGCCCGCGUUGGAUUAGCUAGUUGGUAGGGUAAAAGCCUGCCAAGGCGACGAUCCAUAGCUGGUCUGAGAGGAUGAUCAGCCACACUGGGACUGAGACACGGCCCAGACUCCUACGGGAGGCAGCAGUGGGGAAUAUUGGACAAUGGGCGAAAGCCUGAUCCAGCAAUGCCGCGUGAGUGAUGAAGGCCUUAGGGUUGUAAAGCUCUUUUACCCGGGAUGAUAAUGACAGUACCGGGAGAAUAAGCUCCGGCUAACUCCGUG